CUUUAAAAGAAAAAAGUUUUCCUCUUAGGCUACUGCUUAUAUUCAGGCAGUAUAUUUUGGGAGGUAAUCUCAGGAAAGAAGAGUAACAGAGGACUGUAAAACAAGGAAGGAGAGCGGACCAGGAAAAGGUCUCUUUUGCGGUUGGCUACCACUUUAUGGAGCCAUUCAGAAUGUGCCUCAGAAGUUCCAUCCAAGGAGCAGGUGCAAAACAUUUAUUUGUCAGCUCCCAUUCCCGUUGAUGAAAGCUUCCAGCGGGGCAUUAUUCGGUUGUUAGGAAUACGCAGGACAAUCUGGUCUUUAAAGGCAUCUCAGAUGGCUGGAGCCUGGGAGGAAAGUGAAAAGUGAAUAAGGCAACUGAGGCCAUGUGUUGCCAAGAUGACACCUGUAGGAAGCAGUUGUCCAGCAAGCAGUUGCUGUUGUAAAAGAUGAAGAGAAAGAGUGUGAGGCAGUGUCCAGGAGGUAGUUCUGGUUGACAUUCACACUAAGGGAUUGAGUCAGUUGUCCCUUCCCUGCCCUCCUCCCCUGCCCUAGGAUUUUCUAGAGAGUUGUUGCUCAAUAAACACCAGCUGAUUGACUGGGUGACUAUUUGCCAUGACAUGCUGACCCUUCCAAGAUCUGCUAAAACCACAGGGGAAAUGGAGAUAGCAGCAUUUUCCAAAGCAACUGUGUUUGUAGAUUCACACAGCAAUGAAAUACUGUCUCAAAGGGGCCUGUGUGGAAUGCAGCAUGAAAUAAAGGCGAGAACAGAGAACGAGAAGACAUUCUGAAAUUAAGUGGAGUUGGCUUUACAUUUGAAGGGUGAGAAAGACAUUUCUAAGCAUAUUAUUAAGUGUGAAGGCCAAAAAGAAACAUCUCAAUAGAUUUGACUGCCUUUUUAUACUUCAUUGUGUCAAAGAAGAUUAUUAUCGAAGUUCAAAGAAAACGACAAGGCAGGGAAAGAGGAGUCAGAAGAAUUGACAUCUACUCAGCCCUGAGUGCUGUAGUCAGUGAUGAAAUCAGCUCAGGAGUGUCCCAGGAGAGAACCAGCAGCACUGCUAUAGCGUGAAGGAU
rnacentral:lncRNA from 1 species